UGCUGUACAGACUGCUACCACGCCGGCUGGCUAGGUUGCUCUAUCAGCCAUCAUCAGACAAGCUUCCUCCUUCAGCAGUUGAGAAUACAGAGACCCACAGCCAGACAUUAAGCAGAAAAUGAGAGUUGGUACACUGAGUCCUAAACAAGACACCUCUAUUAAAGCCCUCCCCUCCAAGCUCAGGGAGCCCAGUGGACGAGGAGGUGGAAAUAGUGUAAGAGACAACGGGGAUGGAGGACACCAGGAGAACAAGGCCCUCAGGAUCAACAUGAGCAAAGCUCACCUGAACUCACAGAGACUGAAGCAGCAUGCACAGGCCCUGCAAGGUUCUGCACCAGGUUUUCUAUGUUUAUUUUAUGGCUUCCAGUUUAGUGUUUUUAUGGGACUCUUGAGUGAGUGAACUGAUUCUUGUGCCUUCUCUUAGGGAUCUUUUCUUCCUGUUUAUCUAGUCCAACUUUAAUGUAACAGCUUUUGUUUUAUCUUAUUAUAUUUUAUUAUUAUUUUUAGAAGACUUUUCUUUUCUAAUGAGAGACAGAAAGGAAGUGCAUCCAGAUAGAAGGAUUGGUUGUGAGGAACUGGGAAGAGCAGAGGGAGUGGAAACCAUAAUCAGAAUAUAUUAUGUGUAAUAGAAGGAAAAAUAAAAUAUGAGCUAUCUUAUAAAACUACUUACAAAUCCUAUAAGAAUGCUCCUUGGCUCACACUGAAGUUACGAAUGAAUAAAUCCAUUUUAAGUAAAAAUCUUGCAAAUAAAAUACAUUAAAUAAUC